rnacentral:lncRNA from 1 species
CAAAUUAAAUAUAAUGCAACAAUAAUCAUGAAUUCAAAAAACAAAAAAGGAAACUCAGUUCCGUGUUCAAUUUAGCAAAAGACAUCACAUCCGUUUUUUUAAGUAUCAGGAGGUGUAAAGACAGAAAACUGAGUGGGUCCUAAGUUUCAAAACAAACAUGGCGGCGUCCAGGAGGUUGAGUUUGAUUGGGCUGAGGUUGCGGGCGGCUUUGUGGGACAGCAGGUCAUUGUCGGAAGUGAGGCAACAGAGUUUCUCUUUAUAUGCCAAGGAAAACGCCGCCAAAUCAUGUUUUCUGAAUGUGUCACCCGUAAAGCAUAUUUCAGGUAUGAAAUCUCAUUAAUCUGUAUGUCAAAACGUCAUACUUCCGUGCUACACCUGUGCGUCCUCAGCUAGAUGUCUUUUGAUAAUCUCUGUCCUUCCCAGCCUAUGAUUGCA